AACAAUAUGGGAGCGAUGACCUGGCGGGGAAAUCUGGUCGCUUAUCCCAAAGAGGGGGGAAACCUGCCAACGAGCUAAGAGCGAAACCGGCCCAUGCGACC
rnacentral:ncRNA from 13 species